rnacentral:rRNA from 1 species
GACGAACGCUGGCGGCGUGCUUAACACAUGCAAGUCGAACGGGAUUUCGUAAACUGAAGCCUCUGUGGAAGAUUACUAAUGAGAGUGGCGAACGGGUGAGUAACGCGUGAGCAACCUGCCUAUGACAGUGGGAUAGCCUCGGGAAACCGGGAUUAAUCCCGCAUAAAAUCGUAGAAACACAUGUUUCAACGGUCAAAGAUUUAUCGGUCAUAGAUGGGCUCGUGUCUGAUUAGCUAGCUGGUCAGAUAACAGCCCACCAAGGCGACGAUCAGUAGCCGGUCUGAGAGGCUGAACGGCUACAUUGGAACUGAGACCCGGUCCAAACUCGGACGGAGGGGAGCAGUAGGGAAUAUUACACGAGGGAGGAAACCGUGAUGCAGCGGCGCGGGGUGAACGAAGAAGGUAUUCGUAUCGUAAAGUUCUGUCCUAUGGGAAGAUAAUGACAGUACCAGAUAAGAAAGCUCCGGCUAAAUACGUG